CCUACGUGAGGCAGCAGUGAGGAAUAUUGGUCAAUGGGCGCGAGCCUGAACCAGCCAAGUCGCGUGAGGGAGGACGGCCCUACGGGUUGUAAACCUCUUUUGCCGGGGAGCAACGGGCGCCACGUGUGGCGGCACUGAGAGUACCCGGAGAAAAAGCAUCGGCUAACUCCGUGCCAGCAGCCGCGGUAAUACGGAGGAUGCGAGCGUUAUCCGGAUUUAUUGGGUUUAAAGGGUGCGUAGGCGGAUCGUUAAGUCAGUGGUCAAAUGGCGGGGCUCAACCCCUUCCCGCCAUUGAAACUGGCGAUCUUGAGUGGAAGAGAGGUAUGCGGAAUGCGUGGUGUAGCGGUGAAAUGCAUAGAUAUUAGGCAGAACCCCGAUUGCGAAGGCAGCAUGCCGGCUUCCGACUGACGCUGAAGCACGAAAGCGUGGGGAUCGAACAGGAUUAGAUACCCGUGUAGUC
rnacentral:rRNA from 1 species